UCGGGUUGUAAAGUUCUUUCGCCAAGGAACAAGGGAGGUUAGAUAAUACCUAGCCGACUUGAGCGUACUUGGUAAAGAAGCACCGGCUAACUCCGUGCCAGCAGCUGCGGUAAUACGGAGGGUGCAAGCAUUAAUCGGAAUUAUUGGGCGUAAAGAGCGCGUAGGCGGAUAAAUUAGUCAGAUGUGAAAUUCCGGGGCUUAACCUCGGAGCUGCAUUUGAAACUGUUUAUCUUGAGGACGGGCGGAGAAAAUGGAAUUCCAUGUGUAGCGGUGAAAUGCGUAGAUAUAUGGAAGAACACCUGUGGCGAAAGCGGUUUUCUAGCUUGGUCCUGACGCUGAGGCGCGAGAGCAAGGGGAGCAAACAGGAUUAGAUACCCUGGUAGUCCUUGCCGUAAACGAUGCAUACUUGGUGUAGUUGGAUUCAACCCCGACUGUGCCGUAGCUAACGUGAUAAGUAUGCCGCCCUGAGGAGUACGCUCGCAAGGGUGAAACUCAAAAGAAUUGACGGGGGCCCGCACAAGCAGUGGAGCAUGUGGUUUAAUUCGAUGCAACGCGAAGAACCUUACCCAGGUUUGACAUCUAGAGGACGUAACCAGAGAUGGUUAUUCUCGUAAGAGCCUUUAGACAGGUGCUGCAUGGCUGUCGUCAGCUCGUGCCGUGAGGUGUUGGGUUAAGUCCCGCAACGAGCGCAACCCUUGUCGCUAGUUACCAGCAUGUUAUGAUGGGGACUCUAGCGAUACUGCCUAGGUUAACUAGGAGGAAGGUAAGGAUGACGUCAAGUCCGCAUGGCCUUUAUAUCUGGGGCUACACACGUGCUACAAUGGUCGGUACAGAAGGCGGCGAAGCCGAAAGGUGGAGCAAAUCCUAAUAAAGCCGAUCCCAGUUCGGAUUGUAGUCUGCAACUCGACUACAUGAAGUUGGAAUUGCUAGUAAUGGCGUGUCAGCAAUAACGCCGUGAAUACGUUCCCGGGCCUUGUACACACUGCCCGUCACAUCAUGGAAGUUGGUUUUACCCGAAGUCACUGACUUAACCGCAAGGGAAGAGGUGCCGAAGGUGAGGCUGAUGACUGGGAUGAAGUCGUAACAAGGUAGCCUUACCGGAAGGUGAGGCUG
rnacentral:rRNA from 1 species